AACGAACGCUGGCGGCAUGCCUAACACAUGCAAGUCGAACGAGACCUUCGGGUCUAGUGGCGCACGGGUGCGUAACGCGUGGGAACCUGCCCUUAGGUUCGGAAUAACUCCCCGAAAGGGGUGCUAAUACCGGCUAAUGUCUUCGGACCAAAGAUUUAUCGCCUUUGGAUGGGCCCGCGUUGGAUUAGCUAGUUGGUAGGGUAAAAGCCUACCAAGGCGACGAUCCAUAGCUGGUCUGAGAGGAUGAUCAGCCACACUGGGACUGAGACACGGCCCAGACUCCUACGGGAGGCAGCAGUGGGGAAUAUUGGACAAUGGGGGAAAGCCUGAUGCAGCAAUGCCGGGUGAGUGAUGAAGGACUUAGGGUUGUAAAGCUCUUUUACCCGGGAUGAUAAUGACAGUACCGGGAGAAUAAGCUCCGGCUAACUCCGUG
rnacentral:rRNA from 1 species